UACGUAGGGUGCAAGCGUUGCUCGGAAUUACUGGGCGUAAAGCGUGCGCAGGCGGUUGUGUAAGUCUGUCGUGAAAUCCCCGGGCUCAACCUGGGAAUUGCGAUGGAGACUGCACGGCUAGAGUGUGUCAGAGGGGGGUAGAAUUCCACGUGUAGCAGUGAAAUGCGUAGAUAUGUGGAGGAACACCGAUGGCGAAGGCAGCCCCCUGGGAUAACACUGACGCUCAUGCACGAAAGCGUGGGGAGCAAACAGG
rnacentral:rRNA from 1 species